rnacentral:rRNA from 1 species
GUCUUUUUGAUUAUAAUUUAAAGUCUAACCUGCCCAAUGAGUAGUUAAAUGGCCGCGGUAAUUUGACCGUGCAAAGGUAGCAUAAUCAUUAGUUUUUUAAUUGGAAGCUGGAAUGAAUGGUUGGACGAGAAAGAAGCUGUCUCAAUUUAAUUUAAAUUAGAAUUUUAUUUAUAAGUAAAAAAGCUUAUAUAAUUUUAAAAGACGAGAAGACCCUAUAGAAUUUUAUAUUUUAAUAUAUUAAAAUUUUUUAGAAUUUAGAUGUUUUAAUAAUUUAAAAUAUUUUGUUGGGGCGAUAGAAAAAUUGAAUUAACUUUUUUUAUAUAAUAACAUUAAUUAAUGAUUAAAUGAUCCAUUUUUUAUGAUUAUAAGAUUAAAUUACCUUAGGGAUAACAGCGUAAUUUUUUUUUAGAGUUCUUAUCGAUAAAAGAGUUUGCGACCUCGAUGUUGGAUUAAAAUUAACUUUUGGUGUAGGGGCUAAAAGGUUAGGUCUGUUCGACCUUUAAAAUUUUACAUGAUCUGAGU